CCCCCGAACAAAUAGGUAUGACACACGAAAAUGCUACGCCAAGAAAUAAAUCAAGUGUUUGUGUUGGUGAUUCACACGCGAAUAAUGAACUUAGCAGAUGACACGAGAAUACAUAAGUGUGUUUUUAGAAAAAGUAUUCCAACCUCAGAGAACUCGCAGAGCUUUUUUCAUUACGUCAGUACAGUUCGCCUUUAAAAACCUGUUCGGCAUGUAGAUGAAGCAAAUGUGUGUGGUGAAAUGAACCAAAGAAACGAGUCGUUUUCAAUUGGAAAGCUUUUGUAUUUUUGAUAGCUACAAAUGCAACACUGCUUAUUUGAGAUCGGUGAAAUUCGAUUAACCGAUUACUGUUAGUUAACCACUCAUGAAUACUUCAUCUUUCACGUUAUUAAGACGGUUAAUCAUACCGUCUAAUGCGAAUUUCAGGCCGAGUAGGCUUAGUAUUACCUAAUUUGUUACAAAUAAAUAAAUAAAACAAAUUUUUAUA